AACGAACGCUGGCGGCAUGCCUAAUACAUGCAAGUCGAGCGAACGGAUGAAGUGCUUGCACUUCUGACGUUAGCGGCGAACGGGUGAGUAACACGUAAGGAAUCUACCUAUAAGCGGGGGAUAACAUUCGGAAACGGGUGCUAAUACCGCAUAAUAUCUUCUUCCGCAUGGAAGAAGAUUGAAAGACGGCUCUGCUGUCACUUAUAGAUGACCUUGCGGUGCAUUAGUUAGUUGGUGGGGUAAUGGCCUACCAAGACGAUGAUGCAUAGCCGACCUGGGAGGGUUAUCGGCCACAUUGGGACUGAGACACGGCCCAAACUCCUACGGGAGGCAGCAGUAGGGAAUCUUCCGCAAUGGGCGAAAGCCUGACGGAGCAAUGCCGCGUGAGUGAAGAAGGCCUUCGGGUCGUAAAACUCUGUUAUAAGAGAAGAACAAAUUGUAGAGUAACUGCUACAGUCUUGACGGUAUCUUAUCAGAAAGCCACGGCUAACUACGUGCCAGCCGCCGCCGUAA
rnacentral:rRNA from 1 species